rnacentral:rRNA from 1 species
ACGUAGGUGGCGAGCGUUAUCCGGAAUUAUUGGGCGUAAAGGGCCCGUAGGCGGCCUGUUAAGUCUGGAGUGAAAUUCCUGAUUUCAACUUAGGGAGUGCUUUGGAAACUGGCGGGCUGGAGUGCAGGAGAGGGUAGCGGAAUUCCCGGUGUAGCGGUGAAAUGCGUAGAGAUCGGGAGGAACGCCAGGGGCGAAGGCGGCUAACUGGACUGAAACUGACGCUGAGGCGCGAAAGUGUGGGGAGGAAACAG